rnacentral:rRNA from 1 species
UACGGGAGGCAGCAGUGGGGAAUUUUGGACAAUGGGCGAAAGCCUGAUCCAGCCAUGCCGCGUGCAGGAUGAAGGCCUUCGGGUUGUAAACUGCUUUUGUACGGAACGAAAAGCCUCUUUCUAAUAAAGAGGGGUCAUGACGGUACCGUAAGAAUAAGCACCGGCUAACUACGUGCCAGCAGCCGCGGUAAUACGUAGGGUGCAAGCGUUAAUCGGAAUUACUGGGCGUAAAGCGUGCGCAGGCGGUUUUUGUAAGACAGAGGUGAAAUCCCCGGGCUCAACCUGGGAACUGCCUUUGUGACUGCAAGGCUGGAGUGCGGCAGAGGGGGAUGGAAUUCCGCGUGUAGCAGUGAAAUGCGUAGAUAUGCGGAGGAACACCGAUGGCGAAGGCAAUCCCCUGGGCCUGCACUGACGCUCAUGCACGAAAGCUGGGGAGCAAACAGGAUUAGAUAACC